rnacentral:rRNA from 1 species
AUUGAACGCUGGCGGCAUGCUUUACACAUGCAAGUCGAACGGCAGCGCGGGCUUCGGCCUGGCGGCGAGUGGCGAACGGGUGAGUAAUGCAUCGGAACGUGCCCAGUAGUGGGGGAUAGCCCGGCGAAAGCCGGAUUAAUACCGCAUACGACCUGAGGGUGAAAGCGGGGGACCGAAAGGCCUCGCGCUAUUUGAGCGGCCGAUGUCGGAUUAGCUAGUUGGUGGGGUAAAGGCUUACCAAGGCGACGAUCCGUAGCUGGUCUGAGAGGACGACCAGCCACACUGGGACUGAGACACGGCCCAGACUCCUACGGGAGGCAGCAGUGGGGAAUUUUGGACAAUGGGGGCAACCCUGAUCCAGCCAUGCCGCGUGCGGGAAGAAGGCCUUCGGGUUGUAAACCGCUUUUGUUCGGGAAGAAAUACUCUGGGCUAAUACCCCGGGGGGAUGACGGUACCGGAAGAAUAAGCACCGGCUAACUACGUG